UGGCCUCAGUUUUGACUGCAGCCGUGGAUAUUUACUAACAAUAAACCUGUCAACCACUUCAAGGUGGACGGAGCUCUUUCUCUAAUGGACAAUUCGUCGAAAAGGCCUCAUGCCAUGCUGUCUUUUGAACGCAAACCUGUGCGGAUGGGCCUUGAACGGCUGUUUCAUCUAGUCAUCCAGGGCCUGACGAGAUUUGACUGGUCCAGUCCCAAUAUGUGUCAUUAUCCAUCCAGUGUGACUUCACCCAUCCUGCCCUCUGGUGACACAGCCUGCCCUUGUUAAGUGGCUCCAGUCCCUCUCCUCGUUUACAGUGGAUGGGUGCCACCUGGUCAUACAUGAAGGGUGUCAAUGGGAUCCGGAGUCUGUAGAGGAGUGAGACAUCCUAAAGGGGAGCUGGGGCGAGUCCAGUCCAGAGAAAGCCCUUUAUUUUCAGC